rnacentral:rRNA from 1 species
GACGAACGCUGGCGGCGUGCUUAACACAUGCAAGUCGAACGGAAAGGCCCUGCUUUUGUGGGGUGCUCGAGUGGCGAACGGGUGAGUAACACGUGAGUAACCUGCCCUUGACUUUGGGAUAACUUCAGGAAACUGGGGCUAAUACCGGAUAGGAACUCCUGCUGCAUGGUGGGGGUUGGAAAGUUUCGGCGGUUGUGGAUGGACUCUCGGCUUAUCAGCUUGUUGGUGGGGUAGUGGCUUACAACGGCUUUGACGGGUAGCAGGCCUGAGAGGGUGACCGGCCACAUUGGGACGGAGAUACGGCCCAGACUCCUACGGGAGGCAGCAGUGGGGAAUAUUGGACAAUGGGCGGAAGCCUGAUGCAGCAACGACGCGUGCGGGAUGAAGGCCUUCGGGUUGUAAACCGCUUUCGCCUGUGACGAAGCGUGAGUGACGGUAAUGGGUAAAGAAGCACCGGCUAACUACGUG